rnacentral:rRNA from 1 species
AGCGCAGGCGGGAGAACAAGUUGGAAGUGAAAUCUAUGGGCUCAACCCAUAAACUGCUUUCAAAACUGUUUUUCUUGAGUAGUGCAGAGGUAGGCGGAAUUCCCGGUGUAGCGGUGGAAUGCGUAGAUAUCGGGAGGAACACCAGUGGCGAAGGCGGCCUACUGGGCACCAACUGACGCUGAGGCUCGAAAGUGUGGGUAGCAAACA